AAGUUUAGUAAUCAAAGCCGUACCGUAAACCGACACAGGUGGGUGGGAUGAGUAUUCUAAGGCGCGUGGAAGAACUCUCUUUAAGGAACUCUGCAAAAUAGCACCGUAUCUUCGGUAUAAGGUGUGCCUACCAGGUGUUAAAGCCCUAGAGGUUACAACAAAGAGUCCCUCCCGACUGUUUACCAAAAACACAGCACUCUGCUAACUCGUAAGAGGAUGUAUAGGGUGUGACGCCUGCCCGGUGCUCGAAGGUUAAUUGAUGGGGUUAGCAUUAGCGAAGCUCUUGAUCGAAGCCCGAGUAAACGGCGGCCGUAACUAUAACGGUCCUAAGGUAGCGAAAUUCCUUGUCGAUUAAAUAUCGACCUGCAUGAAUGGCGUAACGAGAUGGGAGCUGUCUCAAAGAGGGAUCCAGUGAAAUUGUAGUGGAGGUGAAAAUUCCUCCUACCCGCGGCAAGACGGAAAGACCCGUGGACCUUUACUAUAGCUUGACACUGCUACUUGGAUAAAAAUGCGCAGGAUAGGUGGGAGCUUUGAUCCAUAGAUUUUGGUUUAUGGUGAGCCAUUGUUGAGAUACCACUCUUUUUUAUUUGGGUAGCUAACUAGCAUGAGUUAUCCUCAUGUAGGACAAUGUCUGGUGGGUAGUUUGACUGGGGCGGUCGCCUCCCAAAAUGUAACGGAGGCUUACAAAGGUUAGUUCAGAACGGUUGGAAAUCGUUCGUAGAGUAUAAAGGCAUAAACUAGCUUAACUGUGAGGCAUACAAGCCGAGCAGAGACGAAAGUCGGUCUUAGUGAUCCGGUGGUUCUGUGUGGAAGGGCCAUCGCUCAAAGGAUAAAAGGUACCCCGGGGAUAACAGGCUGAUCUCCCCCAAGAGCUCACAUCGACGGGGAGGUUUGGCACCUCGAUGUCGGCUCAUCGCAUCCUGGGGCUGGAGCAGGUCCCAAGGGUAUGGCUGUUCGCCAUUUAAAGCGGUACGCGAGCUGGGUUCAGAACGUCGUGAGACAGUUCGGUCCCUAUCUGCCGUGGGCGUAAGAAGAUUGAGGAGAGUUGACCCUAGUACGAGAGGACCGGGUCGAACCAACCACUGGUGUAUGGGUUGUUCUGCCAAGAGCAUCGCCCAGUAGCUAAGUUGGGAUGUGAUAAGAGCUGAAAGCAUCUAAGCUCGAAGCCAACUCCAAGAUGAAUCUUCUUUUAAGAGCUCUUAUAGACUAUAAGUUUGAUAGGCUGGAUGUGUAAGUGAUGUAAGUCAUUUAGCUGACCAGUACUAAUAGCUCGUUUGCUUAUCUUU
rnacentral:rRNA from 1 species